rnacentral:lncRNA from 1 species
UUUUAUUUUUCCAUUUGGAUAAUCAAUAGUCCAGCACUAUUUAUUAAAUACACCAACCUGUCCCCCACUGACUCAUAUGCCAACUCUGAAAUAUAUCAACAGUCUGUACAUACUGACAUCUGCCUUCUGGGCUCUGUUCCAGGAGAGUCUCGCUGAGUUUAUGUUCCAUCCCUCCCUGUCCAACCCUGCACUCUCUUCCACAACAAAGAUCUCUCACAUGUUGAGCACAGUGUGCCAGACGCUGUUCUACAGGAAACAAUCUGGCAAGAGAGACUUUCUAUGAUCCGACUCCAGCGAUCUCCGCCAGCCCAUUCCCUGCCCCUCCCCUGCCCCCUGUGUCUUUAUGCCCCCACCUCCCGCAUCAUUGCCCCUCUCUGUACUUUUGCACCUGCCAUUCCCUGGGGCUGUGGUUUCCUUUUAUCCUUUUCCAUCAGACAAACUGUGUUCUUCCCUUAACACCCAUAGGCAUCUGUGAAGCCUUCUCAUUCUCCCCCAGGCAGAGCCGCUCAUGGUAACUGGCUACUACUGCCUUCUUUGUCUGGGUCCCUACAAGGUAAGGAUUCUCUCCAGCACCAGCAGAGAAUUCCCUCCUGGCUCUUAUGCCUUGGACACCUAGUACCCCACCUGGCACUAGCAGGUUCUCAGGAAAUUCUUUUGAACUUUACAUGGUUCUGCAAGUUGAAAGACUUGGGUUCAAAUCUUAGCUCCACUCCUGAGUCAGUUGUAACUCUGGACAAGUCUCUUCCCCUCUCUGAGCCUCUACUUCUCUAGCUGUUGAAGAGGGUUGGCUACUUGUAAAGAGUUUACUUUUACAUCUGGAAAUCUUGUGUGAUUUCAAAAGUGUCUUUCAGCUGUAGAAUCUAGGGUUCUCACUGAAAUCAUCUUUGGUCAUAAUAUUCAAAGACUGGAAACAACCCAAAUGCUCCUCAAUUGGUGAGUAAAUAGACAAACUAUAGUACAUCUAUACAAGGGAAUACUACUCAGCAAUGUAAAGGAACGAGCUACUGAUACAUGCAAUAAUGUGGAUGAACCUCAAAGGCAUGAUGCUAAGUGAAAUAAGCCAGACUAAAUGGCUACAGACUAUAGAAUACAACUCAUAGAACAUUCUGGAAAAAGCAAAAUGAUAGGAACAGAAAACAACUCAAUGGUUGUCUGGAGGUAGGGAUGGGGUAGACUACAAAAGAGCAGAAGGGACUUUGGGGAGGUCAUGGAACUGUGCUAUAUGUUUAUCGUGAUGGUGGUUAUGGGAUUUUAUACAUUUGUUGAAAGUCAUAGAACUCUGGGAGGCCAAGGCAGGAGGAUCACUUGAGGCCAGGAGUUCAAGACCAGGCUGGGCAACAUAGCAAGACUCUGCCUGUACAAAAAAAUAGAAAAAAAUUGCCAGGCCUGCUGGCAUGCACCUGUAGUCCCAGCUACUUGGAAGGCUGAGGUGUGAGGAUUGCUUGAGCCCAGGAAUUAGAGGCCGUAGUGAGCUAUGAUCAUGCCACUGCACUCCAGCCUGGGCAACAGAGCAAGACCCUGUCUCAAAAAAAAAAAAAAAACAACUCAUAGAACUGCACAGAUUUUAUUUCAUGUAAAUGAUACCUCAGUUUUUAUAAAAUAAAGCAAUUAAAGAUCCCAGAAGCAUUGGGAUUCUCUACCUGUUGGAGGAUUAACCCCAGAAACACAGGAGUGAAUGGAAGGCUCUCAGAUAUUGCCACUGGAUCAUAUGGAAGAUACUCCCCUCCUGACAUGAACACAGAGCUGCAGGGGCAGUGAGGACCCCUUGGUGGGAAGGCAGCCUGCUAUCCCCUAACUGGCACCUAAGGUGUAACCAGCAGAUCCUUAGCUUAUUUUUAAGUGAAGAAUAAAAUUCAGAGGCAUUAAUUGACUUGCUGAGUCCAUGGGCAGUGAAUGGCAGAGCUGAGAUUCAAGCUCUGUAAUAUGCACCACCCCCCUCCUCCUCAAAAUGCAGCUGGGAUCUCUGCACCCCCAAUUUGUAGCCCUCUUCUGGGGCCUUCCCCAGUGCUAAUCCCUCAGAGUGCCUGCUGCCAUGGGGAUUAGCUUCUGGGGUCCCCAAGCAGCGGGGAAGCGGGGGAGAUCUGUCAGGGAGCAUUGGGUAACAUCAUGUGACCCGAGUGCUCCAGGCUGGUGAAGAAAGGAACACUCUCUCCAAAAGGAGUGUCUGCCAAACCCAGUGUGGAAAAGGGAUGUCAGGAGGCCACCAGGGUCAUUUCCAGCUGGGAAGGGAAAGGAGAGAGAUUUCCAGGCUUGGUCUGACCCCACACAAGCUCCUCAGGCACCUCUGAGGAAACUGGAGCACGAAGGAACCUAGUCUAAGGACCACUGGGGUCAGCCUAGUUGUGAAAUAUUCAGGUAACCUGGGUCCAAAUCUUAGUCUGUCACUGCCAGUGUGAGCCUGUGUGACCAGGGAUCAUAACCUCUUUGCCUCACAUCUAUAAAAUGGGGACAAUAAUACUAGCUUGGUUAGCGUGCAGGUUAAAUGGAAUGCGCCCUUGAAGCAGGCAGCCCAGAACCCGGCACCUAGUAAGUGCUCCAUAAAUUUUGGCUUCUUGUCAUGGACUUGGCUUUUUUUUUUUUAAAGACAAGAACAGCUGAGCAUGGUGGCUUAUGCCUGUAAUCCCAGCACUUUGGGAGGCCAAGGCAGGAGG